rnacentral:lncRNA from 1 species
UGAUAAUGAUUUUUUUUUAUUUGUUGUGGAAACAAAUGUCUCAAAAAUAUCAGAUUCAUCCAUUGGAUUUAAUAUUGUCAUGGAAACAUGUCUGUGUUUUGAUGCAUUACCAUUUUACUUGUAAUCUAAAUUUGCCAUAAUUAAAUGAUCUGUAUGUUAAAGGUAUUGGACCCAAUAUUUUCAUGAAAGGAUCUUGCAUAAUAAGUUUUUAAAAAUAUCUUAACUUUUCGCAGUUAGAUAAAUAUCAAUAUAUGUAACAGCAGUGCUUACAACCAAACUGGAAUUUUUUCAGUAAUUGUUAAGCAAACUUGAAUAGAUCUAUUAUAUUGUAACUUUGCGCUAUUUUCAUGAAAAAUUUGCAUUCUGCAAUAUUGCCGUAAUUAAGACUGUAUCAUCUCAAAGGUUUUAUUUAUAGGAAAACAUAAUUUAGACCUAAAUAGUUAAUAAAUUUAAAUAACUUUUUAAAUGAUAAAAAAAAUCCUUGAUUACUAAUUUGACAUUUGAAAAAAAAUCAGAGUAAUUGUAUAAUAGAAAUAUCUUUAGCAGAAAUAGGGAUCAAGUUAAUUCCUGAUAUAAAUGCUUACUCAUUUAAACAUAUAACCAGAUGCUCCGCAGGGCGUAGCUUUAUACGACCGCAGAGGUUGAACCCUGAACGGUUGGGGCAAGUAGGACAACAUUCAGCUGGAUUCAGCUCUAAAUUUGGAUUGUGAUUAAAUAGUUGACACAGCAUAGGUUUCUGACACAGAAUGAAUGUGUUCUAAUGAACUUAAAAUUUUUGUUUUCUCUUAGAGCAAUUCACUAUGCUGUUGAAUAUUAAUCCUCUCAAAAAAAUGUUUGAAGAAAUUUUCUUUUUUAUUUAUGAAAUUUCAAAUGAGAAAAAUUGAUCCCAAUUUUUUUAAUCACAUCCCCC